ensembl:lncRNA
GCCUGACCCAUGCGCCCCCCGACCUCGGCCGGGCCCUCCAGUCCGACGUGCGCCUUGAUUCUGGGUCUUGUUAAAUACUCAUUAGGACCUUGCGCCUUUCUCCAGCAGGCCCGCUCGGCGACAGCGAGGCGGGAGUCAAACACUCCCUGGCGGCCGGCCGAGACCCGCGCCGGGGAGCGCCCAGCUGUAACGUGGACGCCCAUGGGCGCCAGGCCAGGGCCCUCUCCUGCCUCGCCAAGUCCGGGUCCACGUGGGGACGCCCCUAGUGCCUCCCGGCCGAGAGUGAGGACCAGGGAGCGCCCUGAGAGCACACGACUGCGUGGCCCCCGCAGCGAGAUGGGCGCGCCUUGGCGGAAGGAGCCGCGUUGAGCCUGCCGAGGGAGAAGGCACGGAGAGACUCCAGGAAAACCCGGGGAGGAAAAGGCCAGGAGCGAGGGAGGCGGGCGGUCAGAUGCUCAGGGCAGUGCCCUCAUGGCGGACAAUGCAAAGCGAGUGCCCCGGACGGAGGGCGGGCUUGGCUUCCCGGAACGCGGCCUGGGGGCGAAGUGCGGGGCCGCCCAGAGCUUUCCUAACCGGCCUGAGUUUCCCAAGAUCGAGGGGUCGAGAAAUAGACCGCAGUGACCCGGCGUGGAGUGCAGCGAUGUGGCCAUCCGUUUCCCCGGGGUCGGAGGAAGUGAAUUACAUGCGUGUGCACACACGUAAAUAUUUUAUAAACCUCCCUUAAUUAACCAGAUCAUUUCCAUUAUGCCUCCAAUAUGAUCAACAGCAACGUUGUGAGGGUUUUCAGGGUUUAUAAUUUGAUGUCACUAGACGGUUGCUCGGGGGCAGAGGUACAAUCGCCGCGCCAGCUGCACUUGUACUUAUUUGUUUUUCUACCGUGUUCCUGUAGGGUUCCAUUAUGCAAUUUUUAAUUAGUUUGUGUUUGUAUUUCACCCGUCCCAAAUCAACCCCAUCCCGGAGCAAGGCGAUGUAAAUUCUCGCAGUACAGGUGUCGCUGCCUGCUCCGGAACACUGGGAAACUCGUGUCUGACAAAUGAAAGCCGGGCGCCACGCAGCUGACUGUCAGCUCUCCGCAGCCGAGAGGCGCAGAUCAAAGCCAGCGGGGACUCCUGCGCCCCCUGAGCGCUGUCGGGGCGGAGGCUCCUAAUGCCAUUAGAGGGAGCCGGCCGAGCGCGGCGCGGGGGGACAAAUAACAGGUCUUUUUUUGCUAGUGUGAGAUGACAGCUGUCUAUUAGAGGACUCAUUUUAUGAUUUGUAUUUGCAAUGAAGUGGCACAUCCUUCAGGAACACUCCAGCCCAGCCCCUCCGGGGCCCUGAGGCAUCCACACCAGCAGCAGGACGACUUUCCCAGGCCAUCAGCAGGCCCAGAGGACGUCUUCCUCCAAGGAGGCAGGUGUGUUGCUCCCGCUCCACGCAAUAGAUGCACCAUGGCACCCUCGACGUCGUUUAUCGCAGGAAAGUUUCACAGGUGUCAGUUAAGCCCCAUUUCCCUGGUUUCACAGAAGAGAAAAGCUGCAGUGGUCAUGUCUAUGAGGCAGAUGUGCCUGGGCCCCAAGGUGGAGGUUUAGUAUAUGUGCAUUCGGCUUUGGCCACAGGAGAAUUACCAUAAAAAUGGAAAAUUUGAGUCUGAUCUUGUCUUUCAUCAGCGACUGCGCCACACGGCCAGCAAAAGCAUCAUCACCACGGCAGUGAGGGAGUAGGAAAGCACCCAUGGUCAUUGUGCAAGCUGAAGACAGGGUGACAUUAUCUCUAAUGCUGAGUUAAGCGGUUUGUCUAAGGUCACUUAGCAAGUGUGUAGUAAAUCCAGGAUUAGAACCUUGGCACCUAGUCGGCAGUCUGUAUGCUGGGCUGGGGACAGACAGACUUGCUGAUCUCGUGACGUAACCUCCUUCUCACCCUCUCCUCCUUAACCCUGUGCAGCCUCUGCCCUGAGCCCCUGUGUCCAGCUCAUCCUGUUACAGGGCUGGCACCUCCUGCCUGACCUGCAGCUGUUAGGAGCUCCCCAGUCCUGCCCCGCCUCCCUCCUGCCUUUUCUUUUUUCCUCUCUUUUCACUUAUUCUCUAAGCAAACAUUUGUGGAGGACCAUUGUAAGAAAUGGGCAAUGUCUUGUGCCAUGGGGGAAGCUAAGAUAAAUUUGAAAGGUGUCUACAUAAAUAUCUAAGAUCUAAGUGUCUAAGGUAAAUUAGACAGUUAGGUGAAACGUACACAAACACCUGAUUAUUCUGCAGUACAGACAGGGACAUGCCCGAGAUUCAGCUGUUCUUUCUCAGCUUCGAAUCCCCCCUCCUUCCUCGGGCUGUGUGAGGCUUUGCCCUGCAAACCCCGAGUCUGCAUUGCCACUUCUGUUCCUUAGACUCCACCAAAAGUGGGUACCAGGGGGAGCCUGCCAGGCGGGAGGAGGGAGGUGGCCCUGCCCACCCUGUCGGGAUCGCUCCCUGUGACUCAUGAUCUGCCCAGCGCACACUUCACCCGGUGCCUCCCAGGAUGCCUCUGAGGUGCCUUCUGAUUCUCUUUUUGCCUUUUCAGUUAACUAGUUGAAAAUUCUUUAAACUGUACUUAUUUGCUAGGGCGACUGUUACAGAGCACCCAGAAAUUUAUUGUCUCACAGUUCUGGAGGAUGGAAGUCCAAGAUCGAGGUGUCCAGGUGUUAGCAGGGCCAGUUCCCACUGAGGCUAUGAAGAGAGUCAGCUCUGUGCCUCUCUUCUACCUUCCAGAGGUUUCUGGCCAUUUUUGGCUUUCUUUGUCUUAUACGCGCAUCACCUUCAUCUCUGCCUUCACCUUCCUGCGGUGUUCUCUCAGUGCGUGUUUCUGUGUCCACGUUUCCCCUUUUUUACAAGGACGCUAGCCAUAUUGGAUUGGCAUCUACCUACUCUAGUAGGACCUCAUCUUAAUAAGCAUACGAAUCUUGUGGGGGACACAAUUCAAUCCAUAACAAUAUCUUAUUAAGACUUCUGCAUAUUAAUUUUUAUCUGUUCACAUAACUGUGUAGUUUCUACCCUCACACUUGACCUGGACUGAUACCAGGGACCCCGCCUUUAGGAACCAAAGGAGGAAGCCAUUCCUUCUAUCAAUGAGGAAAGGGUGACCUGUCACUGGGACCAGGCUUGGAAAGAUGACUUGAGUUGGGGUAGAUAGAGAACAUGAGCAAAGGGCGCUCUGAAAUCAACCGUGAGCACGCUGGCGAGCAUUCAUGAGGGACACAGUGGGAUGCUGGGGCUCAAUCAGAGUGGAUUUCAGUAGCAGGAGAUGAGUUUGGGCUUUAUUCUCUGGGCAAUGAGGAGAUAUGUAGGCAUGUGAGGAGGAGCAGACAAGACGAGAUGUGUCUAUAGACUGUCAAAAACUGAUUGAGGUCAGAGCUGUGGGACCAGAAUCAUCUCAACAAAGGUGACUUUGAGGGUGUGCUCAAGUCCUGGUGUGGUGGGAGUGAUGAGCCUCUGCACGCCGGGACUUCUCCUGGCACUUGAGUGAUUCUGUGGGUAGAUGAGGAGGAUUGUCAGCCUCCUGCCACCUUCCUGUUCCUUGGGGUCCUGCUCGGGAGCACCAGGAGCAUAAGGGUAGCCCAACUCGGGAGGACCCUGGGGCCCUUCUCCUUGUCCUUUAGGCAGAAUAGUUCAACUUCCCUCAUUUUACAUCUUGAAUUUCCAGACAAGGUUUUGUUUCAACAAAGGGUUUUGUGCCUAAAUAUGAACUUGAAGCAUCAUUGACGUCCGUGAUUGUCAGGAUUCUGCUUCUGUCAUCUUCAAGUGAUUUGAUGAUGCGUAAACCUCCAAUCGUUUGUGAAAUGGGGCAUAUUAACACAUCCCCUUUCUCUGGUCAGAUGAGAUGGGUUUUUAUACAUGUCCAGAAUAUACAGUCAUAUCUCUUAUGACAGAAAAUUUCAGUAUUUGGUUGAUUCUUUAUGAGGUGUAAAAUGUUAAACAGAAAUCUGGAAUGACAGAAAUGUAGGGAAGAAUAAUGCUAUCAAAUAAAAGCAAUUAAUAUUAUUAAUAUGGAUAAAAUAAUUUACUUGCAAGGCUUCCCUUGG